rnacentral:pre_miRNA from 1 species
UUAACUCAAAUUUGUAUGGAAUGGGAUCGUUUGCGUACGUUUGCCGUUAGGGGCGCUGUUCCAACUGCAUACCUACAAAUUUGAGUUA